rnacentral:rRNA from 1 species
ACCCGUUGAUCCUGCGGGAGAUUGCCGCUAUUGGGGUUCGACUAAGCCAUGCAAGUUUUCUCGCAAGAGAGGCUGACUGCUCAGUAACACGUCAAUAAUCUGCCCUUAGAUCUAGGAUAACCUCGGGAAACUGAGGAUAACACUGGAUAGAGGAUUAAUACUGGAAUGUAUUUUCCUCCAAAGGCAACGUCUAAGGAUGAGUUGGCGGCCGAUUAGGUUGUUGGUGAGGUAAAGGCUCACCAAGCCAAAGAUCGGUACGGGUCUUGAAAGAGAUAACCCGGAGAAGGGCACUGAGACACUGGCCCUAGCCCUACGGGGUGCAGCAGGCGCGAAACCUUUACAAUGCACGCAAGUGUGAUAAGGGGACCCCAAGUGCUAAUGUUAUACAUUGGCUUUUGCCGAGAGUAAAUAUCUUGGCGAAUAAGUGGUGGGUAAGACUGGUGCCAGCCGCCGCGGUAACACCAGCGCCACGAGUGGGAAUCGUUUAUUUGGUCUAAAGCGUCCGUAGCUGGUUGUACAAAUCUUUUGUGAAAUCGUUAGGCCUAACUUAACGACGUGCAGGAGACACUAUAUGACUAGGGACCAGGAGGGGUUAGAAGUAUUCUUAGGGGAGCGGUAAAAUGCUAUAAUCCUAAGAAGACUACCUGUGGCGAAGGCGUCUAACCAGAAUGGAUCCGACAGUCAGGGACGAAAGCGAGGGGAGCAAACCGGAUUAGAUACCCGAGUAGUCCUCGCUGUAAACGCUACGAGCUAGGUGUUGCAUAUUCUUCGAGAAUAUGCAGUGUCGAAACGAAGGUGUUAAGCUCGUCACCUGGGAAGUAUGGUCGCAAGACUGAAACUUAAAGGAAUUGGCGGGGGAGCACCACAAGGGGUGCGGCGUGCGGUUUAAUCCAACUCAACACGGAGAAUCUCACCAGGAGCGACGGCAGGAUGAAGGUCAGUCUAAUGGGCUUACCUAACGAGCCGAGAGGUAGUGCAUGGCCGCCGUCAGCUCGUGCCGUAAGAUGUCCUGUUAAGUCAGGUAACGAGCGAGACCUGUACUUACAAUUGCUAGCGACUCUUUUGAGGAUCGAGCACAUUGUAAGAACUGCCUUGGAAACAAGGAGGAAGGUGCAGGCAACGGUAGGUCUGUAUGCUCCGAAUCUUCUGGGCAACACGCGCGCAACAAUGGUAGAGACAAUGGGUCACAACUCCGAAAGGAGAAGUUAAUCCUCGAAACUUUAUCUAAGUACAGAUUGAGGGCUGUAACUCGCCCUCAUGACGCUGGAAUCCCUAGUAAUCGGGUGUCAACAUCGCUCGGUGAAUAUGUCCCUGCUCCUUGCACACACCGCCCGUCAAACCACCCGAGCAGGGUUUAGAUGAGGCCCAAUUUUGAAUUGUUCCGAAUCUAAGCUCAGCGAGGAGGGUUAAGUCGUCACAAGGUA